rnacentral:rRNA from 1 species
CAGUCGCCACGGUAAUACGUAGGUCCCGAGCGUUGUCCGGAUUAUUGGGCGUAAAGCGAGCGCAGGCGGUUAGAUAAGUCUGAUGUGAAAUCCCCGGGCUCAACCUGGGAACUGCAUUUGAGACUGUAUGGCUAGAGUGUGUCAGAGGGGGGUAGAAUUCCACGUGUAGCAGUGAAAUGCGUAGAUAUGUGGAGGAAUACCGAUGGCGAAGGCAGCCCCCUGGGAUAACACUGACGCUCAUGCGCGAAAGCGUGGGGAGCAAACAGGAUUAGAUACCCGAGUAGUCCCUGUCUCUUAACAC